AUCUAGCUGACGAGUCCAAAAUAGGACGAAACGCGCGUCGUGGAU
rnacentral:hammerhead_ribozyme from 1 species